rnacentral:rRNA from 1 species
ACGAUGAAUCUUCUAGCUUGCUAGAAGUGGAUUAGUGGCGCACGGGUGAGUAAUGCAUAGGUUAUGUGCCCUUUAGUCUGGGAUAGCCACUGGAAACGGUGAUUAAUACUGGAUACUCCCUACGGGGGAAAGUUUUUCGCUAAAGGAUCAGCCUAUGUCCUAUCAGCUUGUUGGUGAGGUAAUGGCUCACCAAGGCUAUGACGGGUAUCCGGCCUGAGAGGGUGAUCGGACACACUGGAACUGAGACACGGUCCAGACUCCUACGGGAGGCAGCAGUAGGGAAUAUUGCUCAAUGGGGGAAACCCUGAAGCAGCAACGCCGCGUGGAGGAUGAAGGUUUUAGGAUUGUAAACUCCUUUUGUUAGAGAAGAUUAUGACGGUAUCUAACGAAUAAGCACCGGCUAACUCCGUGCCAGCAGCCGCGGUAAUACGGAGGGUGCAAGCGUUACUCGGAAUCACUGGGCGUAAAGAGUGCGUAGGCGGGGUAAUAAGUCAGAUGUGAAAUCCUGUAGCUUAACUACAGAACUGCAUUUGAAACUGUUACUCUGGAGUGUGGGAGAGGUAGGUGGAAUUCUUGGUGUAGGGGUAAAAUCCGUAGAGAUCAAGAGGAAUACUCAUUGCGAAGGCGACCUGCUGGAACAUUACUGACGCUGAUGCACGAAAGCGUGGGGAGCAAACAGGAUUAGAUACCCUGGUAGUCCACGCCCUAAACGAUGGAUGCUAGUUGUUGCCUUGCUUGUCAGGGCAGUAAUGCAGCUAACGCAUUAAGCAUCCCGCCUGGGGAGUACGGUCGCAAGAUUAAAACUCAAAGGAAUAGACGGGGACCCGCACAAGCGGUGGAGCAUGUGGUUUAAUUCGAGGAUACGCGAAGAACCUUACCUAGGCUUGACAUUGAU